GUGAAGAGUGAAGUUACUCUGGGAGCUUCACGAUCCAGAGGGACAAUAAUACCAGGGAUAAAGAUAUCAUGGACAGGUGGGUUAGGGACAGGGGACAGUUACGCUGUAGACAAGUGGGUUAGAGACAGGACACAGUUACACCAUGGACAGGUGGGUUAGGGACAGGGGACAAUUAUGCCGUGGACAGGUGGGUUAGGGAUGGGGGACGUUAUACCGUGGACAGGUUAAAGACAGAACACAGUUAUACCAUGGACAGGUUAGAGAUAGGACCCAGUUACACCAUGGACAGGUGGGUUAGAGACAGGACACAAUUAUACCGUGGACAGGUGGGUUAGGGACGGGGGACAGUUAUACCGUGGACAGGCUAGAGACAGAACACAGUUAUACCAUGGACAGGUUAGAGAUAGGACCCAGUUACACCAUGGACAGGUGGGUUAGAGACAGGACACAGUUAUACGGUGGACAGGGGUUAAAGACAGGACACAGUUACACCGUGGACAGGUGGGUUAGAGACAGGACACAGUUAUACGGUGGACAGGUGGGUUAGAGACAGGACACAGUUACACCGUGGACAGGUGGGUUAGAGACAGGACACAGUUAUACGGUGGACAGGUGGGUUAGAGACAGGACACAGUUACACUGUGGACAGGUGGGUUAGAGACAGGACACAGUUAUACGGUGGACAGAUGGGUUAGAGACAGGACACAGUUAUACCGUGGACAGGUGGGUUAGAGACAGGACACAGUUAUACGGUGGACAGGUGGGUUAGAGACAGGACACAGUUACACCGUGGACAGGUGGGUUAGAGACAGGACACAGUUACACCAAUCAGUUACACAGGGGAGAGGGCUUCAGAGGACAAGCACAGGUACACUUUAGGGAAAGGCUCCUCAGAGAGGAGGUGGAGGUGUACAACAUUCUGGGGGAAGGCCCACGAUUAUAGAGCCCUGGUUUGCACACUCCUUGGGAUAUGGAGGUGUCUGGGGGAGAGGGGGGCUC